rnacentral:snRNA from 1 species
GACAGUGCGCAGAGGCGAUAUCGUAACCAAUGAGGUUCUACCGAGGUGCGAUUAUUGCUAGUUGAAAAGUUUAACCAUAUAGAUGACAGCAUUCAUACAUGAAUAUAAGGCAGCUUUCAUAUGAU